CCCAUCCUGGAGAUGCGGGAAGGGGCGUGUCCUCCAUGUGGUGGCUAGAGAUUUAAUCACUGUCUUGGCCUGUGAGGACCAGAGAUGUAGUGGGUGGAAGGAUCAUGGAUCUCUGAGGUUUUUGAAGAUCAGAAUGACCACACUGGCUCCGAAAUUUCACAAGAGGUAGAAAUGCCUUUCUUAUACCACGGUUACUGUGGUAUUCUCCAACCUCAUCUAAUGCAAGACCAAUCAGAGGACCUGACCACCCUAGGUGCCAAUUCC
rnacentral:lncRNA from 1 species